CCAAAAAUAUUUUUCAGUUUCCGGUUUUGGAAACCUUCGUUCCUCCCUUUUCCCCCCGACCGGAAAUCGCUGCAAUUUUUCCACCGGCCAUAUCUUCCUCCUCCGGCCACCAAUCCUCACCAGACUUCUUCCAUUGGCUUCGCCUGGUCCUUGCCCACCCUUCUCUGGCAGCCUUGCACGGCGGAAAGGCCUGCAGCGGCGGCGGGGAGCUUAAACCGAUUUGAGUUCGAUUUGAGUCAACGCCGGUUUUCUCCUAGCUCCGGCCGCCAAAACUUCCGAUCCUUAGCUCUAUGAACUCCCCUAAACCUGCUUAUCAUCAUCCCAGAAGGAUCACACCUGGAGUGAUCGGUUUCACGUUCGUCGGAGCUCGACCGGUUUUCGAUCGGAAACCAAAACCUUUCGAUCGUGAUAUCUCGAGCUGUAGUGCAUCUUUUUGAUUGAUUCUUGAAACAUUUAGUUUACCUUGAUGUUAUUAACAACUCUCCAGAAGGAAUCGAGGUCUGAAAUUGAAGUUUUUACGUCGAAAAUAAGCUCGCCGGUUUCUGCGUUCUUCGCCUGAUUCUGAAAAAAUUCCGGCCACCUCGACUGUUUUAGGUGAUUGACGGUCUUCCUUGGUGAGCGGUUUUGGUGUGUAUUGUGAAAUUGAAGACGCAGCGGGAUUAGAGCGGGUAAUCCUACAGGUCAGGUGAAUCGAGAAGGUGAUCAGGCUGCUUUGAGUAGUGGGAUUGGAGUUACAGCUUUAUUGUGAGGUUGUUAUGCUCAUUGAGCUUACAUUUAAAUUUGGAGAGAGUGUGUUGUAAUAUUAAACUCUUGAGGAUUUGGUUUUUGUAUUAGUGAGUGAGGCGAGGUGUGUUUAUCUCUGAGAAAAAAAUUCAGAACGUUUAUUUGAUUAAGUUGUUUAUUUCAUGUUUCGGAUUUGAAUUUAUUAUUCAAAAUUCGGGGCG